rnacentral:rRNA from 1 species
CCUACGGGAGGCUGCAGUGGGGAAUAUUGCACAAUGGGGGAAACCCUGAUGCAGCGACGCCGCGUGAGUGAAGAAGUAUCUCGGUACGUAAAGCUCUAUCAGCAGGGAAGAAAAUGACGGUACCUGACUAAUAAGCCCCGGCUAACUCCGUGCCAGCAGCCGCGGUAAUACGGAGGGGGCAAGCGUUAUCCGGAUUUACUGGGUGUAAGGGGAGCGUAGACGGUGAUGCAAGUCAGCAGUGAAAGCCCGGGGCUCAACCCCGGGACUGCUUUUGAAACUGUGAGACUGGAGUGCAGGAGAGGUAAGCGGAAUUCCUGGUGUAGCGGUGAAAUGCGUAGAUAUCAGGAGGAACACCAGUGGCGAAGGCGGCUUACUAGACUGUAACUGACGUUGAGGCUCGAAAGCGUGGGGAGCAAACAGGAUUAGAUACCCCUGUAGUC